rnacentral:rRNA from 1 species
GCUGGUUUUCUGCGAAAAUUGUUUUGGCAAAUUGUUUAUGAAUGUAUAAAUAGUGGGUAUAGCACUGAAUACUUUGAGGGAGUAUUGUUAUAUUUAUCUCGAGUGUUUAAUCUCAAAAUAACUAUUUAUUUUAUGUAAAUAAUCAGACUAUUUGCGAUAAGGUAGAUAGUCAAAAGGGAAACAGCCCAGAACAGUUAUUAAAGCUCCCCAAUUAAUAUUAAGUGAGAAUUCCCA